rnacentral:rRNA from 1 species
AGAGUUUGAUCCUGGCUCAGGAUGAACGCUGGCGGCGUGCUUAACACAUGCAAGUCGAACGGGAAACCUUUUAUUGAAGCUUCGGCAGAUUUAGCUGGUUUCUAGUGGCGGACGGGUGAGUAACGCGUGGGUAACCUGCCUUAUACAGGGGGAUAACAACCAGAAAUGGUUGCUAAUACCGCAUAAGCGCACAGGACCGCAUGGUCCGGUGUGAAAAACUCCGGUGGUAUAAGAUGGACCCGCGUUGGAUUAGCUAGUUGGCAGGGUAACGGCCUACCAAGGCGACGAUCCAUAGCCGGCCUGAGAGGGUGAACGGCCACAUUGGGACUGAGACACGGCCCAGACUCCUACGGGAGGCAGCAGUGGGGAAUAUUGCACAAUGGGGGAAACCCUGAUGCAGCGACGCCGCGUGAGCGAAGAAGUAUUUCGGUAUGUAAAGCUCUAUCAGCAGGGAAGAAAAUGACGGUACCUGACUAAGAAGCCCCGGCUAACUACGUGCCAGCAGCCGCGGUAAUACGUAGGGGGCAAGCGUUAUCCGGAUUUACUGGGUGUAAAGGGAGCGUAGACGGACUGGCAAGUCUGAUGUGAAAGGCGGGGGCUCAACCCCUGGACUGCAUUGGAAACUGUUAGUCUUGAGUGCCGGAGAGGUAAGCGGAAUUCCUAGUGUAGCGGUGAAAUGCGUAGAUAUUAGGAGGAACACCAGUGGCGAAGGCGGCUUACUGGACGGUAACUGACGUUGAGGCUCGAAAGCGUGGGGAGCAAACAGGAUUAGAUACCCUGGUAGUCCACGCGGUAAACGAUGAAUACUGGGUGUUGGGUGUCACA